rnacentral:lncRNA from 12 species
UAGAAUCCCGUGGAGGUAACACGGGCUGAUUCGUCUUGGCCCCGGAGGCCUAGUUCCAUCCAAGGAACCUGGCUUCAGCAGAGCUGUCCUUGGCUGUACGUUGGAAUAUCUUGAUGUAGAAGAAGCAGUGUUCCCAAGGCAAGUUCUUCCUCAUUUCCUAGCUGGUUGUGUUAAUAGCCUUUGGUAUUUACCCCGGUCUUCAGCGAGUCA